GCAUACCAGAGCGUGUUUAGAUGUGGGACUUUGUUCGACGUUUGCAUCUAACCUCUCAAAAGAUGCGCUAUUUCUUUCAAUCACAUCAAAUCAGAUGGCAAAUCUAACAAUGAAAACAUUUUGAUCAAAUUGCUUUAAUUUUGAAGAGAUAACAGAGCGUUAAAAGUGAAAACCCAGCGACUGCAUGAGAACUCAACAGUAAGAAUGAAGACAAAGCUCGCUGAAAUUGUAGCCGAAAGAGAGCAUCAGGGCUUUCAGACACAGCAGUAAUAUGAUGCACUGGAUGCUACGGGCUGG